rnacentral:rRNA from 1 species
AUUGAACGCUGGCGGCAUGCCUUACACAUGCAAGUCGAACGGUAACGCGGGGCAACCUGGCGACGAGUGGCGAACGGGGGAGUAAUGCAUCGGAACGUGCCCAGUAGUGGGGGAUAGCCCGGCGAAAGCCGGAUUGAUACCGCAUACGACCUACGGGUGAAAGCGGGGGACCGUAAGGCCUCGAGCUAUGGGAGCGGCCUAUGUCAGAUUAGGUCGUGGGUGGGGUAAAGGCCUACCAAGCCGAAGAUCUGUAGCUGGUCUGAGAGGACGACCAGCCACCCUGGGAAGCAGCCGCGGCCCAGACUCCUACGGGAGGCAGCGUGCCCUCCUUUUGGACAAUGGGGGCAACCCUGCUCCGCCCCUGCCGCGUGCGGGAAGAAGGCCUUCGGGUUGUCUCCCUCUUUUUUCAGGGAAGAAACGCUCUCUUCUCCUACCCUGGGGUAAUGACGGUACCUGAAGAAUCAGCACCGGCUAACUACGUGCCAGCCGCCGCCGUAAGAC